rnacentral:lncRNA from 1 species
CCCUCAAAGAGCAAAAGUAGAAUUAGGCUUUCACCAUUGUUAUCACCAUCAUCACCAUACACCAUUCAUUCGUCACACAUGCACAUCUUGAUUUGACUUAUUGAUUUGUUUCUUUGGAUCCAUGGUUUGACUAAACAAUAAAUGUCUUGUAAGUAUGUAUACUUUAUCUCCCACCUAUGAGCUCCAGAUAUCAAAAGCCUUAUUAGAGUAGGGUG